rnacentral:tRNA from 2 species
GCGCCCGUGGCUCAAUUGGAUAGAGCAUUAGACUACGGAUCUAAGGGUUGGGGGUUCGAAUCCCUCCGGGCGCG